UACGAAGGGGGCUAGCGUUGCUCGGAAUCACUGGGCGUAAAGCGCGCGUAGGCGGACCUGCAAGUCGGGGGUGAAAGCCCGAGGCUCAACCUCGGAACUGCCUUCGAUACUGCGGGUCUCGAGUCCGGGAGAGGUGAGUGGAAUUCCUAGUGUAGAGGUGAAAUUCGUAGAUAUUAGGAAGAACACCCAGGUGGCGAAAGGCGGGCCUCA
rnacentral:rRNA from 1 species